rnacentral:rRNA from 1 species
CCUACGGGGGGCAGCAGUGGGGAAUAUUGCUCAAUGGGGGAAACCCUGAUGCAGCAACGCCGCGUGGAGGAUGAAGGUUUUCGGUUUGUAAAGUCCUUUUAUUAGGGAAGAUAGUGACGGUAUCUGACGAAUAAGCACCGGCUAACUCCGUGCCAGCAGCCGCGGUAAUACGGAGGGGGCAAGCGUUACUCGGAUUCACUGGGCGUAAAGGGCGCGUAGGCGGGAUAGCAAGUCAGAUGUGAAAGCCUGAGGCUUAACCAUAGAACUGCAUUGGAAACUGCUAGUCUUGAGUAUGGGAGAGGUAGGCGGAAUUCCUGGUGUAGCGGUAAAAUGCGUAGAUAUUAAGAGGAACACCGAUUGCGAAGGCGACUUGCUAGACUAUAACUGACGCUGAUGCGCGAAAGCGUGGGGAGCAAACAGGAUUAGAUACCCCUGUAGUC